rnacentral:rRNA from 1 species
CACGUAGGGGGCGAGCGUUGUCCGGAUUUAUUGGGCGUAAAGAGCUCGUAGGCGGCUCAGUAAGUCAGGUGUGAAAACUCCAGGCUCAACCUGGAGACGCCACCUGAUACUGCUGUGGCUAGAGUCCGGUAGGGGAGCAUGGAAUUCCUGGUGUAGCGGUGAAAUGCGCAGAUAUCAGGAGGAACACCGAUGGCGAAGGCAGGUCUCUGGGCAUUAACUGACGCUGAGGAGCGAAAGCAUGGGGAGCGAACAGG